rnacentral:rRNA from 1 species
ACGCACGCUGGCGGCGUGCUUAACACAUGCAAGUCGAGCGGAAAGGCCCUUCGGGGUACUCGAGCGGCGAACGGGUGAGUAACACGUGAGUAAUCUGCCCUUGGCUUUGGGAUAACUACCGGAAACGGUGGCUAAUACCGGAUACGACAACCGUCUGCAUGGGCUGGUUGUGGAAAGUUUUUUCGGCCAGGGAUGUGCUCGCGGCCUAUCAGCUUGUUGGUGGGGUAAUGGCCUACCAAGGCUUCGACGGGUGGCCGGCCUGAGAGGGUGACCGGCCACACUGGGACUGAGACACGGCCCAGACUCCUACGGGAGGCAGCAGUGGGGAAUAUUGGACAAUGGGCGGAAGCCUGAUCCAGCAACGCCGCGUGAGGGAUGACGGCCUUCGGGUUGUAAACCUCUUUCAGUACCGACGAAGCGCCGAUGAUGGUGGUGACGGUAGGUACAGAAGAAGCACCGGCCAACUACGUG